CGAGUUACCGCUCCUUAUAACCCUUUGUGAACAUACCCCAAACGUUGCCUCGGCGGGCAGCCGGAGCCCAGCUCCGGCGCCCGGAGCCGCCGUCUCGGUGCGCCCCACCCGCCGGAGGACCACUAAACUCUAUUUAAACGACGUCUUCUUCUGAGUGGCACAAGCAAAUAAUCA
rnacentral:misc_RNA from 1 species